GGGCUAUAGCUCAGCAGCAGGGCAUCUGCGUAGUAAUCAGAAGGUCCCAGGUUCAGUUCCUGGCAUCUCCA